rnacentral:rRNA from 1 species
UACGUAGGGGGCUAGCGUUGUCCGGAAUCAUUGGGCGUAAAGAGCGUGUAGGCGGUCCGGUAAGUCCGUUGUGAAAGUCAGGGGCUCAACCCUUGAAUGCCGGCGGAUACUGUCGGGCUAGAGUCCGGAAGAGGCAAGUGGAAUUCCCGGUGUAGCGGUGAAAUGCGCAGAUAUCAGGAAGAAUAUCCGCGGCGAAGGCGGCUCUCUGGUACGGCACUGACGCUGAGACGCGAAAGCGUGGGGAGCGAACAGG